UUUUUUAGUAGAGACGGGGUUUCCCCGUGUUAGCCAGGAAGGUCUCGAUCUCCUGACCUCGUGAUCUGCCCGCCUCGGCCUCCCAAAGUGCUGGGAUUACAGACAGUUAGUUCUGUACUGUUUAAUGCAAUCUUCCACAUUUUUAGCUUUAGGACAGAAAUAGCCUUUAUAAAAUAUGUAAAUCUUACAAAUCAUGCUCCUAAAAGCAAAUGUAAACCUCUAAGUUUGUCUUAAUAAAAUGUAGGGAGUGAGCUAUUUUAUUGCAUAAUACAAAAUUAAUUUUAUGUAUUUUCUUUCCACAGAUACUACAUUUAAAAUUGAAUAAAGUACUCCAGGGAACUAGUUUUUUUUUUUUCGAUUAACUCUUUGUUUUUUUGUUUUUUUUUUUUGUUUUUUUGCCUUUCUUCUUUCUUUGUGCUCAAGGCUGUUCUUGCCUUAGCUGCAUCUUGGACCUCAAGACAAGUAGGAGAACGGACGUUGACCGGUACGGUAAUAGACAGUGGAGAUGGUGUCACUCAUGUCAUUCCUGUGGCUGAAGGGUAUGUGAUUGGCAGCUGUAUUAAACACAUUCCAAUCGCAGGACGAGAUAUAACAUAUUUUAUUCAGCAACUGCUGAGAGACCGAGAAGUAGGAAUCCCUCCAGAACAAUCCUUGGAAACUGCUAAGGCAGUAAAGG
rnacentral:lncRNA from 10 species